rnacentral:rRNA from 1 species
AUUGAACGCUGGCGGAAUGCUUUACACAUGCAAGUCGAACGGUAGAGGGGGCAACCCCUUGAGAGUGGCGAACGGGUGAGUAAUAUAUCGGAACGUGCCCAGUCGUGGGGAUAACGUAGCGAAAGUUGCGCUAAUACCGCAUACGAUCUAUGGAUGAAAGCGGGGGAUCGCAAGACCUCGCGCGAUUGGAGCGGCCGAUAUCAGAUUAGGUAGUUGGUGAGGUAAAGGCUCACCAAGCCGACGAUCUGUAGCUGGUUUGAGAGGAUGAUCAGCCACACUGGAACUGAGACACGGUCCAGACUCCUACGGGAGGCAGCAGUGGGGAAUAUUGGACAAUGGGCGCAAGCCUGAUACAGCCAUGCCGCGUGUGUGAAGAAGGCCUGGUUGUAAGUACGACGUUUACUACGU